UGGGGAAUAUUGGACAAUGGGCGAAAGCCUGAUCCAGCCAUGCCGCGUGUGUGAAGAAGGUCUUCGGAUUGUAAAGCACUUUAAGUUGGGAGGAAGGGCAGUAAGAGAAUACCUUGCUGUUUUGACGUUACCGACAGAAUAAGCACCGGCUAACUCUGUGCCAGCAGCCGCGGUAAUACAGAGGGUGCAAGCGUUAAUCUGAAUUACUGGGCGUAAAGCGCGCGUAGGUGGUUCGUUAAGUUGAAUGUGAAAGCCCCGGGCUCAACCUGGGAACUGCAUCCAAAACUGGCGAGCUAGAGUAGGGCAGAGGGUGGUGGAAUUUCCUGUGUAGCGGUGAAAUGCGUAGAUAUAGGAAGGAACACCAGUGGCGAAGGCGACCACCUGGGCUCAUACUGACACUGAGGUGCGAAAGCGUGGGGAGCAAACAGG
rnacentral:rRNA from 1 species